UCGUGUCGUGAGAUGUUGGGUUAAGUCCCGUAACGAGCGCAACCCCUAUCUUUGGUUGCUAGCAGGUAAUGCUGAGAACUCCAGGGAGACUGCCGGUGACAAACCGGAGGAAGGUGGGGAUGACGUCAGGUCAUCAUGGCCCUUACGGCCAGGGCUACACACGUGCUACAAUGGUGCGCACAGAGGGCUGCAAACUCGCGAGGGUAAGCCAAUCUCUUAAAACGCGUCGUAGUCCGGAUCGCAGUCUGCAACUCGACUGCGUGAAGUCGGAAUCGCUAGUAAUCGUGAAUCAGAAUGUCACGGUGAAUACGUUCCCGGGUCUUGUACACACCGAA
rnacentral:rRNA from 1 species